rnacentral:tRNA from 1 species
GGGCAGGUAGCUCAGUUGGUAGAGCAACGGACUGAAAAUCCGUGUGUCGGCGGUUCGAUUCCACUCCUGCCCA